GUGGGGAAUAUUGGACAAUGGGCGAAAGCCUGAUCCAGCCAUGCCGCGUGUGUGAAGAAGGUCUUCGGAUUGUAAAGCACUUUAAGUUGGGAGGAAGGGCAGUAAGUUAAUACCUUGCUGUUUUGACGUUACCGACAGAAUAAGCACCGGCUAACUUCGUGCCAGCAGCCGCGGUAAUACGAAGGGUGCAAGCGUUAAUCGGAAUUACUGGGCGUAAAGCGCGCGUAGGUGGUUCAGUAAGUUGGAAGUGAAAUCCCCGGGCUCAACCUGGGAACUGCUUUCAAAACUGCUGAGCUGGAGUACGGAAGAGGGUGGUGGAAUUUCCUGUGUAGCGGUGAAAUGCGUAGAUAUAGGAAGGAACACCAGUGGCGAAGGCGACCACCUGGACUGAUACUGACACUGAGGUGCGAAAGCGUGGGGAGCAAACAGGAUUAGAAACCCGGGUAGUCC
rnacentral:rRNA from 1 species